rnacentral:tRNA from 1 species
UUUCUCAUAGCGUAGUGGUCAGAGCAUUGGUGCGUAAACCCAGAGGUCCCGGGUUCGAUUCCCGGUGAGGGUG